GACCUCACGGCCGCCGCCGCCGCCGGCCUCCGCAGAGGACUACGGCUCCCGGCGUGCACUGGGGGCCUGGGCCGGUGCGCGCGAGGGGGGCCGGAAGAGGGGGCCGCGAGGUCCGACCGGGAGGAAGCGCCGGAGCUACAACGGUGAGGGGCGGGAGGCUCGGUUCCGGACGCCUCCGCCAGCGAUACUGACGCUCCUCCAGACCGUUCUACUGUCCUGGUAACACGGUUUCCUCGCGGUGAACACGCGUCUCCCCUCGUCGCCCACAGCAACACCCGCUCUGCAAGGGUAAAAUCAACGGGGAACGCGCAGACGCGGGCACUGCUUAGCCCUCUGUGCACGCCGAACGGUAGAUCCUGACGUGAGCCGCGAGAACCAGCCCCUGGCAUCCCCGAAAGUCACUCGGACGCCCCCGCUGUUAGGGCCGGGGAAGGUCUCGGAGGGUAUGCCGCUGACAACCGAGUUCUCUCGGGACCGGGGCUGCGCGGGUCAGGCCGGCAGGGAGGGGUUCAGUGGCCGGCGGGGACUGUGGCCCGCGCUUCCUCCCCAGCCCCCUCCCCGGUUCCUCCCCAGCUCCCAACCCCCUUCCCUCCCCACCUCCCCCAGCCCCCUCCCCAGAUCUCCCCCCUCUUCCCUCCCCAGGUCCUCCCCCAGCUCCCUCCCCCUGCCCCCUCCCCGUCCCCUCCCCAGCUCCUCCCCAGCUCCCAACCCCCUUCCCUCCCCACCUCCCCAGAUCUUCCCCCCAUUCCCUCCCCGCUCCCUCCCAGCUCUGGCCCCCCCUCCCAAGAACUCUUCAGAGGCUGCCAGGCCCAUCACACACACCCCACCAAUGAAAAGAUUCAAAACUCCAGCAGGGAAGAUAGGACGAAACCAGCAAAUUGUCUCCUCCUGCAUCCAGAUCGCUCAGCUGCUGGUUUGUGGCAAACAGUGGUGGGAAAUAUUUCCAGGGAAUUCGUUGGAUGCUUCAACCCUCUGAAGGACUAAGGCAUCCUCUGAAGUCUAUCUCGGGGGAAACUCAUCCUGUCUGUAAGCCUGUUAAAAAUCCUUCUUCCCCUUUCCUCCAGGGAAGAGAUGAUUUUCCUCUGGUUGCUGGCGGCGUGGCCAUCAAGGGUGGCUGAGAACGUGCAUGCUGAAUUCAUAGCACAUGCGCGUUCAGAAUUGACAACAUGUCACUUCCUACCCCAAAAUAUUAACUUAGGCAACUCACCCACAAAAAGAAAGAAAGAAAAGAAACAAACAAAAAAAAGGCAGCCCAAAACUGAAAGGGAAGUAACUAGUCUGUUCAGGCUGAGGGGCACGCAUUGCUCCCAGUCCGGGAGGCCAGGAAGCACCAGCGUGGCUGCCAUGUGGCUCGUGGCUACUGCUCGCUGCCCUGUCCUCACAGUGAGGUGGGGACCAGGGAUCUCUCCGCGGCGGUUUGAUAAGGCCUUCAUCUCAUCGUGAGGGCCCCUCCCGAAGGUCCCACCUCCUAACACCAUCACAUCGACGUAGGAGUUUUGGGGGGACACAGACGUUCACAUCACAGCAAUAACUAAAUGUUGACUCUCAGAUUGUGGACCUUGCGUCUGUAACAGACGGACAUCCGUCCUUUUUCCCCAGGUGCUUUCCAGAAUAACCUCCUCGAGGAGACCCGUGUGCCCAUGACUGCGAGAGUCUAGGUCGGAACACGAACGAGGGAAGUGGCUUCUUGGAGGAGCCCAUGCCCCAUCCCGAGAAGCAGCCACGAGCUGUCACGUCUAGACAGUAGCAGCCAGGCAGGCCCGGGAUUGCCGGAUCUUCCCAUUUUUUCAAGAAAAGCCCCAAGUGAAGAUUUUCCUGUGAAAUCGGUCCAUUGUAAACCUUGGCUCCAAUUUUAAAAAUGGUGCAGGCAAAAUAAACCACACACGUGGGUGACUCAUCCCCCGUCUUUGGCCCAGGGACCCUGCUGUGCUGCAGCCUCCCGGCCCUGUGGGAGGGGUGUUGACGCCUAAAAUUCUCGGCAGGUCCCAGCCAGUGUUGUGCAUGUCGCCCACCCCCCACGGGAGGAGCCUGAAGUCUGUGGGCCCUCCGAAGGCAGUCUCUUGUGGGAGCUCCCAGCAGGUGGCCGGCUGGCGUUGUGGGUCGGCUGGGGGGAGCACCACAGGCUCACUUCGGCCCCACCCCACUUUCAGAUGACGCGGAGCCUCAGGCGCUGGGUACGGGUGUGUGUGCACAUACGUUAGUCCCUGUAUAGUUAAAAAUACCAGUAAUAGUCUGCUGAUCAGUAGAGUGUUUGUUCAGCACCCGUGUGCCCAGCACCGUGCCAGGCACUGCGGUGGAGACAGGACUCGGGGAUGUGGACCUGCCCCUUCCGGGGCGCGCAUUCCCACGCGGGAGGCAAGACUCACGUCCGUGGACCAGCCCGGAGCGGUGCAAGACAAUUUGUCAUUUGGUGUGAGAGUGUGUCGUACAGACUUGAAGCUUGAUAGGGACCCAGAGAGAGACCGGGAAGGAGGCCUCAGGGUCAGGACUUCCUGAGGCGCCAGGAACGGGGCCAGUCUAAGAAGAGACCUCAGUCCCUCCCUGCUAGGGACAAACAGAACGCAUUGGAUUUGGGGGCUAAGAAGUCACCGUGGACUUUGGAGCAGAGAAGGGGCUUGUCCGUGUCAAGUUCAACAACUUUAACGCAAACUCAUGAAAUAACGGGAGUAGCUUCGGGGACAGUCCUACAGCAUGGAGAACCCCGCGGUGUCGCAACCAGCAACACAGACAGCACUCACCUGUCCUAGCCCGGCUGUCAGGGAGACGCGACGAUUCCAGGAGCCCCUCACCCAACAGCUCAGUGUCCCCAGGUUUCCACAGGCCCCACACGGGGGGAGAGGGGCUUCACUGCCAAGACCCAGGGCUUGGCGCUCUGCUCUGCAUGGGGAGAGACCACACACGAGGUGGGAAAGGCAGCGGGACCCACAGGAGGGACAGAAGAAAGGACACACGGAAGAGAGACUCGAACAGAAAUACCUAGUGAAGAAAACACACCAAAACGUAUGGAAAAUCUGUCUCCUAGGGAGAUGCGAGGUCCUCGUCCGUCGUUCUCUUAACGAGCCUCUGUGACAUUCCUCCAACAGCAAACUCUGCCUCACUCAGGUGUGCUUCUGGUAUUACUGGUAGAAUCCAGGUGUGUCGGGGAAACGGCGCACAAAAUCCCGACUAUCAGUUCUCACUGCACAACAGAAGAGCAGCGUGUUCUGUAGGGAGUCGGGACGGAGACGGGGAGCUGGGGGAGAAGGGGCUUUCCUCACGCCCAGGCAGGCGGCGCAGGGUGAGGGAUCACGGCGGGGGCCCGCCUCGCGGGUGGGGAGGUCGGUGAUCGGGGUCACCACUGCCUGGGACACGGCCGAGGGGCAAGGAGCGGCAUCCUCGGAAUCCUCAUCCUGUAACAACACGGAAAUGAAAAUCCCACCACUGACCACAUUUAGUUAGGCCACCAAUUCCGAAUCGGUUUCCUGUUCUACUGUCAUCACUAUGUACAGACAUUCUCUACUUAAAACCAGAGAAACCUAUUUCUAGACCCUAAAUAGAUCAUUUUAAAAACCCUAAUUAUUACACCAGAAAGUAAUAACGUACUACAUGUUGGCUAAUUGAACUUAAUAAAAAAAAUAAAAAAUAAAAAAGCAAAACAAAACAAUAAAAAUCCCUAAUUAAAUUCAUGCUUUUUUGAACAGAGACAAGACGUGAUAAAAUUUAAGAAUCCCAUAAAGAUUGUACAUUCUCAGAUUGGCAUUUCAAGCUUUUUUUUUUCAUUGCUUAGAAAAAAGCCGUCCCACGAACACGUUCCAUAAAGUUGCAACACCCGUGUUCCAAGUUACUGACCAGCAGCACGUCCAACAUCGGUCUUAGUUUCCAUCACUUACACACGAGCCAUGGGAAGACAUUCAAAUACUUUCUACUUCCCCGUCCCCCCGACGAUCCCCUUACUCUGAACCCCAUGCUCAUCUCUCUGAGGGAAAUCUCUCUCUGGAAGAGCUACCACUUACCCAAGCUGCGACUACCGGGCAAACGGUCCACACCUCCGUCCCGUUUGCUAAAACCAUCUGCAACCGUCUCUUCCCUACGGGGGUCCACUUCAUGCCUGUGGGUUCUCUCAACGACUUAGACCCUUUGAGCGCAAACCUGCCGAGGCCCAGGGAAAUUAAUAUUUGGACAGAUCUUCAUGGAAUCACGGGCAUCAAGUGUCUCCUCCUCCGGACCGUGUCUAAUUUCUACCUGAUGGCGAAGGUAAACCAGGUGCUUGGCUCUGAAAAGCUGGUGGGCUUUUCAUUAAGCAAAAUGACCCAUGUGAAACCAGCCCAGGACCCACGGACUCCUGCCUAACAGGUACCUGUUCAUCUGGCUCCAAAGUCAACACCCCAAGUCUAAAACCGAUCUGUUGUCCAGGAGGGUGGGCACGAAGUGUCUUUCCCUGGAGCGUUCUUAAUGGAGAAACACAAGCAGAGUCACUAAGAUGCCACGUGAGCCCUGAGCCGGCCCUCCUUAGCCCUGCCGUGGCAAGAGCCACCCUACCUGCCCUGUUUUCCCUGCAUGCGACAACUGGCAGUUUCGCAAAACCCAGACGGAGAACAGCUCUCUGGACACCACCAGCCCAUCUUCUUCCUACUGGAGCUGGUGCCGUGCAUGAGUAAGCUGUGUGCACAGCCACGGCGCAUCGGCCACGGCCUUCCAUCCUGGCACGCAAGCCCGUCGAAAGCUGUGAGGCUGGGACCAGCGGGCCCGGAGCUGCUGUGAGCCCAGGCCUGCACAGCAGGGCCAGAACCCAUGUGGUCACUCAAAAGAUCACACACAAAAGCUUUCGUUCAGUGAGAGAGAUGGAACUCAGUUUUAUUGUGUCCUCUCUGAAACUUCCAUUUACCCACGGCCUCAUCUAUCAAAGAGGAGGAGGGAGCUCUGGAUGAGUCCCCAGAGCUCGAGCGCGUGGGGAUGUGGUGGCUGGCGGCGGUCCGGCUCGGAGAGAUCACGUUGCCAGGGCCGGUCUGACCGGCCGCUCCGAGUGCGUUUGGAUCCGUUAGUGUACCAUUCCAUAAAGUGCUUCUGGAGUUCAAACCUGCCAAGCCGUCAAAAGCGUCCACACUUUCAUGACACAAAGGCUAAAAGAAUCCCAACGGGUGUGCCACCGAGUCCUUCCCAGCUGGGUCUCGUGGUUGGCACCGGCCGCUUUAGCCGCCAAGGCGCUGGCCCUCACCCCAGGCGAAGCCUCCUGGCCGCUCUUCAGGUAGUGGAUUGUAAUUUGGAUCCUCAUCUGGUGUAUCAAAAAUAGCCUUC